CCUACGGGGGGCUGCAGUGAGGAAUAUUGGUCAAUGGGCGCGAGCCUGAACCAGCCAAGUCGCGUGAGGGAGGACGGCCCUACGGGUUGUAAACCUCUUUUGCCGGGGAGCAACGGGCGUCACGUGUGGCGCCACUGAGAGUACCCGGAGAAAAAGCAUCGGCUAACUCCGUGCCAGCAGCCGCGGUAAUACGGAGGAUGCGAGCGUUAUUCGGAUUUAUUGGGUUUAAAGGGUGCGUAGGCGGACUGGAAAGUCAGCGGUAAAAUCGAGAGGCUCAACCUCUUUCCGCCGUUGAAACUGUCGGUCUUGAGUGGGCGAGAAGUAUGCGGAAUGCGUGGUGUAGCGGUGAAAUGCAUAGAUAUCACGCAGAACUCCGAUUGCGAAGGCAGCAUACCGGCGCCCGACUGACGCUGAGGCACGAAAGCGUGGGUAUCGAACAGGAUUAGAUACCCGUGUAGUC
rnacentral:rRNA from 1 species